UACGAAGGGUGCAAACGUUGCUCGGAAUUAUUGGGCGUAAAGCGCACGUAGGCGGCUUUGCAAGUUCGAUGUGAAAUCCCUCGGCUCAACCAAGGAAGUGCAUCGAAAACUGCAGAGCUUGAGUACGAAAGAGGAUCGCGGAAUUCCCGGUGUAGAGGUGAAAUGCGUAGAGAUCCGGAGGAACACCAGUGGCGAAGGCGACACGCUGGGCCGUACCUGACGCUAAAACGCGACAGCAUGGGGAGCGAACGGG
rnacentral:rRNA from 1 species